UAAGUGGGAAACGAUGUGGGAAGGCACAGACAGCCAGGAUGUUGGCUUAGAAGCAGCCAUCAUUUAAAGAAAGCGUAAUAGCUCACUGGUCGAGUCGGCCUGCGCGGAAGAUGUAACGGGGCUAAACCAUGCACCGAAGCUGCGGCAGCGACACGAUGUGUUGUUGGGUAGGGGAGCGUUCUGUAAGCCUGCGAAGGUGGCCUGUGAGGGUUGCUGGAGGUAUCAGAAGUGCGAAUGCUGACAUAAGUAACGAUAAAGCGGGUGAAAAGCCCGCUCGCCGGAAGACCAAGGGUUCCUGUCCAACGUUAAUCGGGGCAGGGUGAGUCGACCCCUAAGGCGAGGCCGAAAGGCGUA
rnacentral:rRNA from 1 species